ensembl:lncRNA
UUCCAAGGUCCGAAGCUCAGCUGGUGUGAACUGGCCUCAGCCCCUCUCACAUGGCUUUCCAUUCUCAACGUGACCUCUGUGCUUGGAUGUGAGAGCUGCCCUCAGAAAGCUGGCUGUCAGCUGACAGCCCACUCUGCAUGCUGCGGGCAAGGAUCAGCCCCUCUCAAGCAAUAUAAGCCCCAGGGAGAUCUAGGUGAGGACCAGCUGGCCAUCUGGAGCUGCGUGCUUCGUUUGGCGUACUUGGUGAGGAGUAAUGGAGCUGGAGCACGAGAGAUGUGGCAAUCACUGGCAAGUGCUGUAGCUGGACGAGGCCCUUGGCUCUCCCUGCUGCUGCUUCUGGAGGAUCUGCACAUCGCUACAGCACACCUCCCGUGUCCUGCACUGGGAAGUGAGAAGAAACUCAGGUCACUUGGAGCAUCCAGGCAUGAACACAAUCACAGAAUUUCCAAAGUAUGUCACAGGACCAUUUAUUUCUAACCUCAAAGUUAAAACAUUUUCUGUGAGUGACUUUCUUUUUCCACCUUCAUUUGCCCUUUGUUCAUUGCUGCCUUUGGUGUGAAUGGGUCUCUUUGUCAAUAGCCUGUUCUUUUCCAUUUUUCCGUUGUUUCACACAGUGAUGAAGACCUUAGGGUUUGCCUUUUUCCUUUCUUCUCACUCCUCUAAUGUUCUCGUAUCUUUUUUUCCUGAUCACACUGUAGAUGGGUACAAAGUUUGCUCCAGCAAACUCAGUUCUGCCCAGUGAGUGCACGAGGUGAUGGCGUGCUGUCUGUGCCGCGGUAGGUUUGGCUAUUGUCUAGCAGAGUGUCACUCAGAAAGGAUUUUGACACCAAAUUUUGGUAAAAAAAGAAAUGUAAGAUGGUGACUUGGAU